rnacentral:rRNA from 11 species
GUUGACCUCGAAUCAGGUAGG